rnacentral:rRNA from 1 species
AGAGUUUGAUCCUGGCUCAGGACGAACGCUGGCGGCGUGCUUAACACAUGCAAGUCGAGCGAUGAAGCUUCCUUCGGGAAGUGGAUUAGCGGCGGACGGGUGAGUAACACGUGGGUAACCUGCCUCAAAGUGGGGGAUAGCCUUCCGAAAGGAAGAUUAAUACCGCAUAAUAUAAGAGAAUCGCAUGAUUUUUUUAUCAAAGAUUUAUUGCUUUGAGAUGGACCCGCGGCGCAUUAGCUAGUUGGUAAGGUAACGGCUUACCAAGGCAACGAUGCGUAGCCGACCUGAGAGGGUGAUCGGCCACAUUGGAACUGAGACACGGUCCAGACUCCUACGGGAGGCAGCAGUGGGGAAUAUUGCGCAAUGGGGGAAACCCUGACGCAGCAACGCCGCGUGGGUGAUGAAGGUCUUCGGAUUGUAAAGCCCUGUUUUCUAGGACGAUAAUGACGGUACUAGAGGAGGAAGCCACGGCUAACUACGUGCCAGCAGCCGCGGUAAUACGUAGGUGGCGAGCGUUGUCCGGAUUUACUGGGCGUAAAGGGUGCGUAGGCGGAUGUUUAAGUGGGAUGUGAAAUCCCCGGGCUUAACCUGGGGGCUGCAUUCCAAACUGGAUAUCUAGAGUGCAGAAGAGGAAAGCGGAAUUCCUAGUGUAGCGGUGAAAUGCGUAGAGAUUAGGAAGAACACCAGUGGCGAAGGCGGCUUUCUGGACUGUAACUGACGCUGAGGCACGAAAGCGUGGGUAGCAAACAGGAUUAGAUACCCUGGUAGUCCACGCCGUAAACGAUGGAUACUAGGUGUAGGGGGUAUCAACUCCCCCUGUGCCGCAGUUAACACAAUAAGUAUCCCGCCUGGGGAGUACGGUCGCAAGAUUAAAACUCAAAGGAAUUGACGGGGGCCCGCACAAGCAGCGGAGCAUGUGGUUUAAUUCGAAGCAACGCGAAGAACCUUACCUGGACUUGACAUCCCUUGCAUAGCCUAGAGAUAGGUGAAGCCCUUCGGGGCAAGGAGACAGGUGGUGCAUGGUUGUCGUCAGCUCGUGUCGUGAGAUGUUAGGUUAAGUCCUGCAACGAGCGCAACCCUUGUUAUUAGUUGCUACCAUUAAGUUGAGCACUCUAAUGAGACUGCCUGGGUAACCAGGAGGAAGGUGGGGAUGACGUCAAAUCAUCAUGCCCCUUAUGUCCAGGGCUACACACGUGCUACAAUGGUAGGUACAAUAAGACGCAAGACCGUGAGGUGGAGCAAAACUUAUAAAACCUAUCUCAGUUCGGAUUGUAGGCUGCAACUCGCCUACAUGAAGCUGGAGUUGCUAGUAAUCGCGAAUCAGAAUGUCGCGGUGAAUACGUUCCCGGGCCUUGUACACACCGCCCGUCACACCAUGAGAGCUGGUAACACCCGAAGUCCGUGAGGUAACCGUAAGGAACCAGCGGCCGAAGGUGGGAUUAGUGAUUGGGGUGAAGUCGUAACAAGGUAGCCGUAGGAGAACCUGCGGCUGGAUCACCUCC